UUGGAGCAUCGCUGUUUUACCGCAUUGGACGUCCCCGACCAGCACCAGCUUACACCUCGCUACGAAAGGCUGCGGGAGUCUCCUCUCCUUCAUGGUGACACAAACUGACACGUUCGGGGGCAGAAGGCGGCGGAAAGUUUCGGUAAAUCCUCCAGACGAGCGUCUCGGUCCGACUCUGAGCUCGGUGAGUCGGUGCUGAAGCAGUUCAGCGGCAGUCAGUGAAGGAGUCACUGCGGAACUUUAUAUUGUGGCGCUAACCAAUGAGCGCUGCGCAGAACGAGCACGGAGGAGGGACGUGCACGACGCCCUGUUGUUACUAACAGGGCUGGAGGAAGCAUUCACGUGUGUCUCAUGUGGCCCUGCAGCUUCUCCUCCUCCACCUCCUCCUGAAGCCUUCAUCUUCUUCAUCAUCAGCUGCUCAGUGACUCUGUUGGACGUCUCACCGUGUGGCAGCAGCUCAGGAGUUUGCAGUCAACCAAGGCUGACUCAGAAUCACUCCCACCGGGAAGAUCUGUGAAGGAAGGUCCACCCGGCUGGUCCAGAAGCUCCGGUCCAGCAGAGCAGCGUCAGGAUGGAGACGUAACCGGGUGAGUUAACUAGAGAGGCGAUACAUUCACAUAGAAAAUCCAACAAUUCCUUCUGUUUUUACAGUUUGUGACUCUGGUAAAUGGUGUCAUUUUUCAAAGCUGGUGGGUUUUGGGCUUCACAGAUUAAACCUAAAUGCUUUUCUUAAACAAACUGCUGAGCUGCUGCACAGUGAAAUGUUUGAGUGGAGCUCAGGAUGAAAGCAUCAGAGCUGUUUUACAUGUUUUUAUGUUCAGCUAAUAUCAUUUCCUCUGGACAAUGUUUGUGGUGUUAGAAGUGGACGUUUGUAGGGAGUUUUCAGUUGUAAUACUUAAAUGCAUAAAUAUUUGCAGUGGUGGUUUCACUGCAAGCAUCUACUGAUGUCACCAGUGAAGUAAAUAAAAACAGCAUUUGUUGAACUUUACACCUCUCAGUGUCUGCAGUUAGUUUAGCUGAAUCAAUGCAAAGAUAUUUCUAUUUUUCUACAUGACAGGAAUGUCAGUGAAAUCCAAAUGCUAAGAAUAAACAAGUGAUCUGCCUGGUCACAGAUCCCACUUUAAUCCAAAAUAAAGACUUUGCAAGGAAAUGUACUUGAAAUAUGAGCCACCAGUAAAAGUUGUGAUCAGACAGAAGGGCCUGUAUUUUAUCUUUGGAGAAGUUUAACAUGUAAGUUUGUGCAGCUGAUCAGUGGUGAGGCCUGUGGAUGACUGGAGAUGUGUGUGGACACUUAGACGAAGCAGCAAAUGUGUUGAAAAUGAGUUGUCUUCUCAGAGUCUUGAAGAUGUUUUGUCAGAGCUAAGAAAGAAGUAAGAGAUCCUGCAGGUGAUUGUUGAGUGGUGUUGAGGAAUUUGAAUGUAGAGGAAUAGCAAAGAGAUUUUGAAGAUAUUUAAGCCAUAAGUUGUAUUUUAUUUGUUUGCUGUUCUCUCCCAUUUGUAGUGAAGAGAAGUGAUUUGACAUGAAGAAUGUGAUUUGUGUGGCUUUGAAAUUGUGUUAAAAUGUAAAAAUGAGUGAUGAGGAGAAGAGUGUGACUUUUUAGUAUUGUGUUUUUUAGCGUGUUCUUUAAAAGUUGUAGGUAGAUUAUCUUCUUUUUUUGAUUUUGUGGAUUGUUUUUUUUUCUUUCAGUGUUGAUGUCACCGCCUUGACGAAUAGAAGAAAAGCCUGUAUUUGGGUAUGUAGGACUGGUAGUCCAGAGGUAGUGGUGGUUUGGAACCUGGAGAGUGCAGGUUUGAUCCCCCACCCUGCUCAAGCUUUUUUUUUUUUACAUUUGGGCAAAACAAAAAUCUUUUCGUGCCUUCGUGCCUUCGUGCCUUCGUGCCUUCGUGCCUUCGUGCCUUCGUGCCUUCGUGCCUUCGU